AGGCCUUUGCUAUUUAAGACUCAUAUGCCAGCAAUGGAACACUUUUCUACAAAAAAAAAAAAAGAGAAUGAGAUAUAAGGGGUUGGUGACCAUCUGCAAAGCCUAGUAUGAUAUUAAAGAGGAGCCUGUAGUGCUUUGGCAGGGAAGGACUAUCACUUCUGCAUCAGGCUUGUCAGAUUGUGUAUCUGUUCACAAACUUCUUCCACUGUACAUCUAUACAGGUUUUGGUUCUGUUCAUAAAUUAACAUCAAUAAUUUUCUGACUGACUUUAAAAAUUUUAAUGGAGUUAUUGAAGAAAUGAUACUGAAAAAAAUACAAAACACACUUAAGUAAACUAUCAGUGUAGCUGUCAUUAUUCUCAAUUCAAUAGAAUAAAAGUUUAAGUAAUUCAAUAACUAACUUAGAGAUUUUAACUUUUUCCUCUAUUUUGGUUAAAAAUAGUGGUUUUUUGAGGGUUUUUUUUUCCCACUUUCACACCUCUGGAAAUGGUACCAUUCUAGAGUAACUGCAUCAUUCUAGAAUAAUUGUAUUUGACAGACAUUAUUUAACUCUACCAAAAUUAUAUCCUCUAACAAGUCUUUCCAUGAUGAUAGUUUAUGAUAACAUCUUUGGUGUCAAAUACAGAAGCCUCAUUUAAGACAAAAGAGUUCAAUGAAAAAUUAAAUAACCCCACAAAUUCUAAAAUAUGCUCUAUUCCCCAUUUCACAUUUGUUCUUGUAUUUUGAAUUUGUUCUUGAGCAUUACCUUUCCUUUCUCUCUCUUAGUGCUCUAUG